AACUCCCCCCCCCCCUUUUUUUUUUUUCCUCUCCUCCCUACCCGGCCAGCCCAGCUGCCUGGGCUGAUCCGACCGCCUCUCCACCCCUCUUCCUUAGAGUCGCAGGCACAGAGCGUCUAUAGCAACACAACGGCCGCAGCGCCAUGUUGGGAGAAGCGAGGCGAGACGCUCCCCUCUGGCUCGCGGGUGACGUCACAGGCCGGGGCAAGAAGGCUGGCCAAGCUGAGAGGAGCGAUCGCCUCGAGGAAGCCGCCUUCAAGAACAAUACACGCGGAUUGAGAUGAUUGACGCAUCCCCUUGCUUUUCUUUUUUUUCCCCCCCCAGCACAAGUAUAUAGCUUCAGAAAUCACUCGGGCAGGAGGACUUCGCAACCCGUUCUGCAUAGCCAGCCAAGUGUUGUUAAUGAUGAAGAAAGGCCUUUUCUUCUCAUAUAUAACGGGAUUUGAAACUUUCCGAAGGGGUUGGAGAUAUGGGUCAGUCCCCCCACCCGAAAGUUAGGUUAUCUCCCUUCUUUCCGAUUUGUUUUUCUUAAAAGAUGUUACUACAUGGAAUGAGAUGUAGAAAUUGGGAUUGUGCAGCCCAAUUCUGGGUGUGUCUAUAUAUAGAUCCCAAUGAGUAUAUUUCAAUGUAAACCUCAGUGAGUAAACUGGGGAAUACUCCAUAAGAUGUACAUUUAGGUUUGCAAUUUUGGUUUUCAAGACUCGAGUUCAAAUAAACUGCAGCUGCCACCAAAAGACUGCAUCAUGGCCACAAUUCAGAAUGAAACUUUAAAGGUUGACUCCGCCUUCCAUCCUUCUGAGGUGGGUAAAAUGAGAAGCCAGAUUGUUGGGGGCCAUAGGCUGACUCUGUAAACUGCUUAGAAAGGGCUGUAAAAGCACUAUGAAGCGGUAUAUAAGGCUAAGUGCUAUUGCUAUUGUUAAGUGAGGUAGUUGUUAAGUGAGUCACACUCAAUUUUACAACCUUUUUUGCCAUAGUUGGUAAGCACCGUGGUCAUUAAGUGAAGCAUAUAUUAUUAAGCAAAUCUGGCUUCCUCCAUUGUCUCUGCUUGUCAGAAACCAUCUGGGAACGUUGGAAAUGAUGAUCGUGGGACACUACAACCAUCAUAAAUCUAUGACUGUUGCCAAGGGGCUGAUUUUUUAUAAUGUGACUGCCAGGAUAUUGCAAUAGUUGUGUGUCAUAAAUUACUUUUUUCAAUUUACUGUCGUAAAUUCGAAUGGUCACUAAACAAAUGGUUGGAAGUCAAGGAUUACCAGUACAAUCAGAUUGGCUUUCUUUUCUCAUUCAGCCCUUACAUGAUUCUAAUCUUGUAUUCCUCUAGCGCAUUUCAUUCAAUUGGAGUAGACAUCUAUAUUAGUCUGUACUAGCAAUAGACCAUUACAAAAACUCUGGCAAACGCACCAAUUUUAUUUUAAUAUUUUUAAAAUCAAAAGGGAGGAAGAGGAGACAGAAUUAUUUUAACUCUCUGGAAGAAAAAGGAAGCUCUGUGUGGUUAAAUGUUUAUUGAAUUUUAGUAAGCGUAAUGAAUUUAACAAAACACAUUUCAACAUGUCAGUCCUUUGAAAUAAGCCUCAUCAAUAAACAGGCACUAAAGAUUAGAAGGAUCCUUUAUUACUUUAUUGUUGAAGGAUAUAAAUAUAGAAACUUAAAGGUCUAUCAGAGUUUUAUUCUGCCCUCUUUUAUACCAAACAGAAUCAAGACAAAGUUUCUUUUAUUUUCCCUUAAGGGUUCCUGCACACCUUUGUCAAGAUUAUUUCUGCAUGCCUGUUUACAGUAUGUCAUUAGCAUACCUAUAUAUAUGCAGCUGGAUAUCAUAGUGAUUAUAGUGGCACCUUUGACAUUGGAGACUAGGGUUCUGGCUAGUACCUACAUUAUCAGUAGGGGUUCUUGGACAAAGAUCCCAUAAUGCUUCACUUGCCUACCUCAAAUAUGACACAAACUAGGAGUAUCAUGCCAGCUUGGAUAUCACUUGGAUUAACAAGAUGCGUGUCAUAUAUUUGGGAGCCAGGACAAUCUGAUAAAUGAGCUACUGGAAGAGAGUCUGGAAUUGAUGGAAUGCUACAACAACAGGACAUCUAAUGUGAAGGAAUAUAUGAAACGUAUGAAGAAAGUAUAGAUGGACAGAAGAUCUGCAUCUACUAACUGAGAGCUAAUUAAUGCUUCAACAUAGCGAAGAGGAAGUUGCUCUCACAACUUGAGAUAAACCAAUUACAAUUACAUGUCAUAUUCAGAAGACCCAGAAGAAUUGGAUAUGCAGCCAACAUUUGAAGCUGGAAUAUCACUACCACCCUCUCCAUUAAAGAGCACAUGAAGCAUGGAUAAACUAGCUACAGAAGGAGCAUAGUGGCUCAUAUGGUUAGGAUGCUGAGUUGACAAGCAGCAAGCCCACAUUCGAGAUAUUGUUGCUGUGGGGCAGGAUGAGCUCCCAUUCUUCAUUUCAACUCCUGCCAGGAACAUGAAAGGAGCUCCCAACUAGGCAUCCCCCAAGCAACAGUGAUGUCAGUGGCUAAUCCUUUCAACCCGGAAGUGCAAUGUGAUGCAAACUAGCUACCUCGUCCCUCAUUACUAGAGCUUGGUGGAAAAGUACCAUCAGAUAGUAUGCUACAAGAUGUCAGUAGAGCCCUCAUGACAAUCACUAUUACUACUAUAACUCAAACAAAUAAACCAGUAUACAUUAAAGCCACUAUAAUACUGGAGAUGCUUGACUAGAGAAUCAAGAAGAACAGUACUACCUACCUAUCCUCGUCCCAGAGAAUGAGACUAAGAUCAAGGCAACUCAAAGAAAAGUUAGCCAACUGGUGCAACUACAGAAGGGAGUAGAGAUUAAGGAUAAGAUUCAACUACUGAAAAAACACAAGGGGCUGACUCCAUCUGAAAUCCUAGAGAUUGCUAAGCAAACACUCACAGCACUGGCUACCAUAAUAAGAUUCAAUAGAGAAGCAGAGGCCAAGAAGAUAAACCCCUCUUCUCCAGAAAACCAUCCAGGCUGUGUACUUCAAAUUGCAGUGCAACAACACAAUAAUAGCACAAACGGCAAUAGCAGAAACUGAACAGUACUGGAAGAGCCUUGGUAGUACAGGGGUUUAAGGCACCCUGUUAUUAAGCUUAUUAAGACCAGCUGCCUGCAAUUACUGCAGGGUUCGAAUCUCGCCAAGGCUCAAGGUUGACUCAGCCUUCCAUCCUUUCUAAGGUAGGUGAAAUGAGGACCCAGUUUGUGGGGGCAAUAAGCUGACUUUGUAUAAAUAUACAAAAGGAUGAAGGCUAUUGCUGAGCACAUUGUAAGCCGCCCUGAGUCUUCGGAGAAGGGCGGCAUAUAAAUCAAAUUAAAAAAAAAUAAAAAAAAUAAAAAAGAACAUAUGGGAAAAAGAGAAGAAACAUAACAUCAGUGCAAAGUGGCUGAAGGACUUAUUGCUAUCACAGUGAGAGACAUCCAACAGUGAGUCAAGAACAUGAAGAGCUGGACAGCACCUGGCCUGGACAUGAUCUACACUACUGGCUAAAGAAACUAACAGCAAUGCACGAAUGCCUAGCAACACAGAUGAAUCAGCUGCUAGGAGCAGGCUUCUAUCUAGACUAGCUAAAACAAGGAAGGACUGUGCUAAUUAUGAAAGACCCCUACAAGGGACCAUCUUCAUCCAACUACCGGCCAAUAAUCUGCUUUCACACGACAUGAGAUGUCCUACCAGGCAUCAUAGGAAUCAAGUUACAGAACCAUAUGAGCGAGUACAUGAGCAUAACUCAUAAAGAUAUUGGGAUAACACCAGAGGCUCAAAAUAUCAGUUGCUCAUAGGUAGAUCAGUCACCCAAGACUCAAGAUCUACACUGACCAAUCUAAACACGAUCUGGAUUGACUACUGAAAAGCCUAGGCUAUGGCUUAGUGCCACACACACUGAUCUAUGAAUGGCUGGUGCUAUACAAAGUCCACAGAAUACUAAGGACCUUUCUCAAAAACUCAAUGGGACUAUGGAAGACGACAUUUGAAGUCAACUCAAGACAACUCACAUAAGUAGUCAUCAAGUGCAGCAUAUACCAUGGUGAUGCACUGUCCAUGCUGCUGUUCUGCAUAGCUUGUACCGAUCAGCCACAUUAUCUCAAGGACUGGAUAGGAAUACAGGCUCAAGGAAGGAACUACAAUCAACCACCUCCUUCAUAUGAGAACUACAAUGAGGAGGCAAGGAAAACAGCUAUCUUUAAAGGAUAAGAUCCUGAAGAGUGGGAAGAACAGGGCCCACAUUUAUCAAUAUACCCUACCAAUUACCCAUGCUGUAUACUGAGCUGGCCAAAGCAGGACAUAGAAGUUGCCAAUGUGAAGAUCCAGAACUCCUCACAACAUGAUUUUUUCUACUGCAAAUCCAAUACCCAGGGAUUGUACACCAGGUGGAAAGAGGAUGGGCGGAGUCUGGUGAGUGUCUCUAGGCCACUGUCCUGGAUAAAACCCAGGGCAGCCAGGAAUACAUCAGUGAGAUGGCACCUCAAGAUUAACUGCUGAGAGAAUGCCUGAGGCAGUAGCAGACAUGGGAGAAAUACCAAGUAGAGGUAAUGCCAUGCCAAGAAGAUAUGGGAUGUACUAUCAACAGAUAGCUGAAGUGGCAGACAUUGGGAAAUCAUGCCAGUGGCUAGAAAGGGCUGGACUAAAAGACAGCACUGAGGCACUAUUCAUAGUAGCAUAAGAACAGGCACUAAUCAUUAGAUCCUAGAAGCAGGGGCUUAUCCUGAGAAAGGACCCGAGAUAUUAUAUAGAAAGGUCUCAAUCCAUCACACAAUGGCAGGGUGUAAGAUGUAGGCAGGAAUAACACAUUGAAUGGCACAAUUAAGUAAUGACAUUCUGUAUAGAAACAUCUGUACAGUAUAUGGGUUAGACCAGAGGUGUCAAACUGGCGGCCUGUGGAACGGAUGCGUCAUGCGCAGGCCACACCACUCCAGCUCCAUGAAGGGGAAAAACGUGAUAUGUCACGUAACAGCAAUUGUGAUGUCACCAGUUUGACACCUGUGGGCUAGACCUUCCCAAGAUGGAUGGAUGGAUGGAUGGAUGGAUGGAUGGAUGGAUGGAUGGAUAAGUAGGUAGAUAACAGACAGACAUCCCACCACACCAUACCAUACCAACCAAGAGGAAAAAAUAUUCCUCUUGGUUUAACAAGAAAAUAAAGCAAUGUGAUUUAAAAUGAGUGCCUAAUAUAUUUUACAAAUUCUUCACCUUUGUCAAAAUAUGUGUUUUAUUAAAUAUUUCAGUAAACCUCAUUUCAUUAGUGGCCAUAUGAAACAAGUGAGUUUCUUGUACGACGGAAUUCUCCAAUCUUUUUGAGUAACAAUACAAGACUUAUGUCCAACUGUUUUUAAGUAACUUUCUAGAUAUGUAAGUUUUCUUCUCUUGUUUGUCAAUAAUAUUUUUAGAUGCCUAACAAUUUUUAGGCAACCAUUUAAGGCUUUGGUCUUUCCUGUGAAUAUUUUCCCUCUCUUUUCUGCCUACCUUUUAGUGUUCGUGCAGGUAUAUAAAUAAUGUUUCUUAAAUUGUUUAGUUUGCACGUUGCUCAGAAACUAUUACAUGGAAUCUGUGUACAAUAUAAAUUAAUAAAGUAUAACAUUUUCAAGACCUGUAAAA